rnacentral:rRNA from 1 species
UACGUAGGGUGCAAGCGUUGUCCGGAAUUAUUGGGCGUAAAGAGCUCGUAGGUGGCCUGUCGCGUCGGCUGUGAAAACUCGGGGCUCAACUCCGAGCUUGCAGUCGAUACGGGCAGGCUAGAGUUCGGCAGGGGAGACUGGAAUUCCUGGUGUAGCGGUGAAAUGCGCAGAUAUCAGGAGGAACACCGGUGGCGAAGGCGGGUCUCUGGGCCGAUACUGACACUGAGGAGCGAAAGCGUGGGGAGCGAACCGG